rnacentral:rRNA from 1 species
UCGAACGCACAGCGAAAGGNGCUUGCACCUUUCAAGUGAGUGGCGAACGGGUGAGUAACACGUGGACAACCUACCUCAAGGCUGGGGAUAACAUUUGGAAACAGAUGCUAAUACCGAAUAAAACUUAGUGUCGCAUGACACAAAGUUAAAAGGCGCUUCGGCGUCACCUAGAGAUGGAUCCGCGGUGCAUUAGUUAGUUGGUGGGGUAAAGGCCUACCAAGACAAUGAUGCAUAGCCGAGUUGAGAGACUGAUCGGCCACAUUGGGACUGAGACACGGCCCAAACUCCUACGGGAGGCUGCAGUAGGGAAUCUUCCACAAUGGGCGAAAGCCUGAUGGAGCAACGCCGCGUGUGUGAUGAAGGCUUUCGGGUCGUAAAGCACUGUUGUAUGGGAAGAACAGCUAGAAUAGGAAAUGAUUUUAGUUUGACGGUACCAUACCAGAAAGGGACGGCUAAAUACGUGCCAGCAGCCGCGGUAAUACGUAUGUCCCGAGCGUUAUCCGGAUUUAUUGGGCGUAAAGCGAGCGCAGACGGUUUAUUAAGUCUGAUGUGAAAGCCCGGAGCUCAACUCCGGAAUGGCAUUGGAAACUGGUUAACUUGAGUGCAGUANAGGUAAGUGGAACUCCAUGUGUAGCGGUGGAAUGCGUAGAUAUAUGGAANAACACCAGUGGCGAANGCGGCUUACUGGACUGCAACUGACGUUGAGGCUCGAAAGUGUGGGUAGCAAACAGGAUUANAUACCCUGGUAGUCCACACCGUAAACNAUGAACACUNNUGUUNNAGGUUUCCGCCUCUUANUGCCGAANCUAACGCAUUAAGUGUUCCGCCUGGGGAGUACGACCGCAAGGUGAA